CUGACCUAUCAUGCUGGAUGGUAGUGUAUUGGACUACCAAGGCAGUCACGGGUAACGGAGAAUAGGGUUCGAUUCCGGAGAAGGAGCCUGAGAAACGGCUACUACAUCUAAGGAAGGCAGCAGGCGCGUAAAUUACCCAAUCCUAAAUCAGGGAGGUAGUGACAAGAUAUAACAACGCGAUUAAAUAUCGCGAUUGUAGUGAGGGUAUUCUAAAAAUAGCUUCGAGUACGAUUGGAGGGCAAGUCUGGUGCCAGCAGCCGCGGUAAUUCCAGCUCCAAUAGCGUAUAUUAAAGUUGUUGCAGUUAAAAAGCUCGUAGUUGGAUUUCAAGAAACGCAUCUGGGCAACCAGUUUGCUUUCUACCAGUCUUUGACUGUUACUGUGAGAAAAUUAGAGUGUUUCAAGCAGGCAAUUGCAGGAAUACAUUAGCAUGGAAUAACGAAUGUAUCUACAAUUUGGUUGAUUGUAGAAUACGAUUAAUAGGGACAGUUGGGGGC
rnacentral:rRNA from 1 species